AUGCAUCUUUGACAGCCUGGACACUCUGGUGUGAGUGUAUUCUGGGUUUUAUUAUUUCAGAUGCAAUAACAAAUGUCCCCGCGCUUUCUGCUCGUCUUUGUUCCAUGGCGUCUCGGAUUGAAUAGGGGAGGAUAAAU